rnacentral:rRNA from 1 species
CACGCCGUAAACGAUGAGUGCUAGGUGUCGGGGGUCAAACCUCGGUGCCGCAGUUAACACAUUAAGCACUCCGCCUGGGGAGUACGGUGGCAACACUGAAACUCAAAGGAAUUGACGGGGACCCGCACAAGCAGCGGAGCAUGUGGUUUAAUUCGAAGCAACGCGAAGAACCUUACCUGGACUUGACAUCCCCUGAAUAACUCGUAAUGGAGGAAGCCCUUCGGGGCAGGGAGACAGGUGG